GUGAACGCUGGCGGUCGGCCUAACACAUGCCAGUCGCACGGCAGCACAGUAAGAGCUUGCUCUUACGGGUGGCGAGUGGCGGACGGGUGAGGAAUACAUCGGAAUCUACUUUUUCGUGGGGGAUAACGUAGGGAAACUUACGCUAAUACCGCAUACGACCUAUGGGUGAAAGCAGGGGAUCUUCGGACCUUGCGCGAUUGAAUGAGCCGAUGUCGGAUUAGCUAGUUGGCGGGGUAAAGGCCCACCAAGGCGACGAUCCGUAGCUGGUCUGAGAGGAUGAUCAGCCACACUGGAACUGAGACACGGUCCAGACUCCUACGGGAGGCAGCAGUGGGGAAUAUUGGACAAUGGGCGCAAGCCUGAUCCAGCCAUACCGCGUGGGUGAAGAAGGCCUUCGGGUUGUAAAGCCCUUUUGUUGGGAAAGAAAAGCAGCAGGUUAAUACCCCGCUGUUCUGACGGUACCCAAAGAAUAAGCACCGGCUAACUUCGUG
rnacentral:rRNA from 1 species